UACGUAGGCAGCGAACGUUGUUCGGAGUUACUGGGCGUAAAGGGUGUGUAGGUCGGUUGUUUAAGUUUGGUGUGAAAUCUCCCGGCUCAACUGGGAGGGUGCGCCGAAUACUGAAUGACUUGGAGUGCGGGAGAGGAGAGUGGAAUUCCUGGUGUAGCGGUGAAAUGCGUAGAUAUCAGGAGGAACACCGGUGGUGUAGACGGCUCUCUGGACCGUAACUGACGCUGAGACACGAAAGCGUGGGUAGCAAACAGG
rnacentral:rRNA from 1 species